GACGAACGCUGGCGGCGUGCUUAAAACAUGCAAGUCGAACGACGUGGCGAACGGGUGAGUAACGCGUAAUCAACCUGCCCUUCAGAGGGGGACAACAGUUGGAAACGACUGCUACUACCGCAAACUGAAGGAGGGGAUUGCGUGGGAUUAGCGAGUUGGAGGGGUACCGGCCCACCAGGGCGAUGAUCAGUAGCCGGUCUGAGAGGAUGAACGGCCACAUUGGGACUGAGACACGGCCCAGACUCCUACGGGAGGCAGCAGUGGGGAAGCUUCCGCAAUGGACGAAAGUCUGACGGAGCAACGCCGCGUGAGUGAUGACGGCCUUCGGGUUGUAAAGCUCUGUUAAUCGGGACGCGGUACCGGAAUAGAAAGCCACGGCUAACUACGUGCCAGCAGCCGCGGUAAUAC
rnacentral:rRNA from 1 species